rnacentral:rRNA from 1 species
UACGGAGGGGGCAAGCGUUGUUCGGAAUUACUGGGCGUAAAGCGCGCGUAGGCGGCGAUGCAAGUCAGAGGUGAAAUGCCCGGGCUCAACCUGGGAGGUGCCUUUGAUACUGUGUUGCUUGGAUCCAGGAGAGGUGAGCGGAAUUCCGAGUGUAGAGGCGAAAUUCGAUAGAUAUUUGGAAGAACACCGGUGGCGAAGGCGGCUACCUGGUCCGAUACUGACGCUGAGGUGCGAAAGCGUGGGGAGCGAACAGGAUUAGAUACCCGCGUAGUCC